rnacentral:tRNA from 1 species
GGAAUGUAGCUCAGUGGUAGAGUGCUUGCUUAACAUGUGAAAGGCCCUGGGUUUGAUCCCUAGCACCA